AUUGAACGCUGGCGGCAUGCCUUACACAUGCAAGUCGAACGGCAGCACGGGAGCAAUCCUGGUGGCGAGUGGCGAACGGGUGAGUAAUAUAUCGGAACGUGCCCGGUCGUGGGGGAUAACGCAGCGAAAGCUACGCUAAUACCGCAUACGAUCUACGGAUGAAAGCGGGGGAUCGCAAGACCUCGCGCGAUUGGAGCGGCCGAUAUCAGAUUAGGUAGUUGGUGAGGUAAAGGCUCACCAAGCCGACGAUCUGUAGCUGGUCUGAGAGGACGACCAGCCACACUGGGACUGAGACACGGCCCAGACUCCUACGGGAGGCAGCAGUGGGAAUUUUGGACAAUGGGCGCAAGCCUGAUCCAGCAAUGCCGCGUGCAGGAUGAAGGCCUUCGGGUUGUAAACUGUCUUUGUUACGGAACGAAACGGUGAGCUCUAUACGAGUUUAGCUAAUGACGUACCGUAA
rnacentral:rRNA from 1 species